UCGGUCUGGUGGCGAGUGGCGAACGGGUGAGUAAUGCAUCGGAACGUGCCCAACUGUGGGGGAUAGCUCGGCGAAAGCCGGAUUAAUACCGCAUACGAUCCACGGAUGAAAGCGGGGGACCUUCGGGCCUCGCGCAGUUGGAGCGGCCGAUGUUAGAUUAGGUAGUUGGUGGGGUAAAGGCUCACCAAGCCGACGAUCUAUAGCUGGUCUGAGAGGACGACCAGCCACACUGGGACUGAGACACGGCCCAGACUCCUACGGGAGGCAGCAGUGGGGAAUUUUGGACAAUGGGCGCAAGCCUGAUCCAGCAAUACCGCGUGCAGGAAGAAGGCCUUCGGGUUGUAAACUGCUUUUGUACGGAACGAAAAGGUCUGGGUUAAUACCCCGGGCUCAUGACGGUACCGUAAGAAUAAGCACCGGCUAACUACGUGCCAGCAGCCGCGGUAAUACGUAGGGUGCAAGCGUUAAUCGGAAUUACUGGGCGUAAAGCGUGCGCAGGCGGUUAUGUAAGACAGGCGUGAAAUCCCCGGGCUCAACCUGGGAAUUGCGCUUGUGACUGCAUAACUAGAGUACGGUAGAGGGGGAUGGAAUUCCGCGUGUAGCAGUGAAAUGCGUAGAUAUGCGGAGGAACACCAAUGGCGAAGGCAGUCCCCUGGACCUGUACUGACGCUCAUGCACGAAAGCGUGGGGAGCAAACAGG
rnacentral:rRNA from 1 species